rnacentral:rRNA from 1 species
CGUAGAAGACUAGUGUUAUUCAUCUUUAAUAGGUUUAAAGGGUACCUAGACGGUAAAAUUAGUCUAAAAUAUGAUACGGUUUUACUAGAGUUAUAUAUAAGAAGGUGAGUAUUUAAGGAGUAGAGUUGAAAUUUAGUCAUACCUUAAGGACUGGUAAUGGCGAAAGCAACCUUUUAUCUAAUAACUGACGUUGAGGGACGAAGGCUCGGGUAGCGAACAGGAUU